rnacentral:rRNA from 1 species
UUGAAUUGAAGAGUUUGAUCAUGGCUCAGAUUGAACGCUGGCGGCAGGCUUAACACAUGCAAGUCGAACGGUAACAGGAGA